rnacentral:rRNA from 1 species
GACGGGGGGGGGCAAGUGUUCUUCGGAAUGACUGGGCGUAAAGGGCACGUAGGCGGUGAAUCGGGUUGAAAGUGAAAGUCGCCAAAAAGUGGCGGAAUGCUCUCGAAACCAAUUCACUUGAGUGAGACAGAGGAGAGUGGAAUUUCGUGUGUAGGGGUGAAAUCCGUAAAUAUACGAAGGAAACGCCCAAAGCGAAGGACAGCUCUCUGGGUCC